GCUUGUAAAUCUUGCCAUGAUUUUGAGUUGGUAAACUACCCUAAUUCUAGACCUAGCUAUGUGUCAAAUAUCAGAAUUCAAAUUGCCAGCAAAUACAUUGAACCAUAUCAAUUAUAUAGAUCAAAGAGAGAGAAAAGCUUCACUUUACUUUUCAUUUUUGCCAACCUCUUUUCUCUCUCCAAAUUUCGAGAUUGAAUGAGG
rnacentral:lncRNA from 1 species